UACGUAGGGUGCGAGCGUUAAUCGGAAUUACUGGGCGUAAAGCGUGCGCAGGCGGCGCGUUAAGACAGGUGUGAAAGCCCCGAGCUUAACUUGGGAAUUGCGCUUGUGACUGGCGAGCUGGAGUGUGGCAGAGGGAGGUGGAAUUCCACGUGUAGCAGUGAAAUGCGUAGAGAUGUGGAGGAACACCGAUGGCGAAGGGCAGCCUCCUGGGCCAGCACUGACGCUCAUGCACGAAGCGUGGGAGCAACAGGA
rnacentral:rRNA from 1 species